rnacentral:tRNA from 1 species
GCAUUGGUGGUUCAGUGUUAGAAUUCUCCUCUGCCACGCGGGGAGACCCGGGUCCGAUUCCUGGCCAAUGCA